rfam:Gossypium raimondii chromosome 3, whole genome shotgun sequence.
AUUUCGUGAUGAGGACAUAUUCGUAAUAGUUCUUUAAACAUAUCUCAUGCCUCAUACAAUGACUCAUCAUCCAACUGUCGGAAGGUAGUAAUCUAAUUCCUCAACUU